GAACGCUGGCGGCGUGCCUAAUACAUGCAAGUCGAACGCACUCUCGUUUAGAUUGAAGGAGCUUGCUCCUGAUUGAUAAACAUUUGAGUGAGUGGCGGACGGGUGAGUAACACGUGGGUAACCUGCCCUAAAGUGGGGGAUAACAUUUGGAAACAGAUGCUAAUACCGCAUAAACCUAACACCGCAUGGUGUAGGGUUGAAAGAUGGUUUCGGCUAUCACUUUAGGAUGGACCCGCGGUGCAUUAGUUAGUUGGUGAGGUAAGGGCUCACCAAGACCGUGAUGCAUAGCCGACCUGAGAGGGUAAUCGGCCACACUGGGACUGAGACACGGCCCAGACUCCUACGGGAGGGCAGCAGUAGGGAAUCUUCCACAAUGGACGAAAGUCUGAUGGAGCAACGCCGCGUGAGUGAAGAAGGUUUUCGGAUCGUAAAACUCUGUUGUUGGGGAAGAAUGUAUCUGAUAGUAACUGAUCAGGUAGUGACGGUAUCCAACCAGAAAGCCACGGCUAACUACGUG
rnacentral:rRNA from 1 species